rnacentral:rRNA from 1 species
UUAUGCGACCCCUUGGUGUGAAUUGCAGAAUCCCGUGAACCAUCGAGUCUUUGAACGCAAGUUGCGCCCGAAGCCACUAGGCUGAGGGCACGUCUGCCUGGGUGUCA